AUUGAACGCUGGCGGCGGGCCUAACACAUGCAAGUCGAACAAGUGGCGGACGGGUGAGUAAUGUCUGGGAAACUGCCUGAUGGAGGGGGAUAACUACUGGAAACGGUAGCUCAUACCGCAAACCAUCGGAUGUGACCAGAUGGGAUUAGCUAGUAGGUGGGGUAAAGGCUCACCUAGGCGACGAUCCCUAGCUGGUCUGAGAGGAUGACCAGCCACUCUGGAACGGAGACACGGGCCAGACUCCUAUGGGAGGCAGCAGUGGGGAAUAUUGCACAAUGGGCGCAAGCCUGAUGCACCCAUGCCGCGUGUAUGAAGAAGGCCUUCGGGUUGUAAAGAACUUUCAGCGGGGAGGCGUUACCCGCAGAAGAAGCACCGGCUAACUCCGUGCCAGCAGCGCGGUAAUUC
rnacentral:rRNA from 1 species